rnacentral:sRNA from 1 species
CCCACGGUUCUGAAGCCAUCGCGUUAAUAAGCCUAGUGUCUAUUAAAGUAGAACUGAUUUCUUUCAUGGUUGCAUUGCAUAUAAAAAAGUUUUUUGUUGUUUUUUUUAGAAGCUGCACCAGAUAUUGAAGUUGUCCUGACAAUAAUGAGACCAAGGCCAGGUGUUAAUAGAGACAAAACAAAGUUAUCACAAUCUGAUUAUGAUGCUACAGAUAAUGAGGCAAAUAUAAAUAUUAGUCGAACAAUUCUGGAGCUAAAGCAAUCCCUUGGAAAACUACUUGAUGUUGAGUCAACAGAUUUAAGAAUUUUUAAAGGUACUGUGGAGUUGCAAGACGCCCACCAAAUAAUGGACUAUGAGAUACAGACUGAUGACAAUUUGACAGUUUACAUUAACUAAAUUUACUACAUUUGGGUUUUCGGCUCUAUAAAUAUUUUUCUUUUAUGUUACAAACUUUAUUUACCUACCAGUCAUUUAACUUUGACCAAGUUUGAAUAUCAAUGUGCCUUCUUUCAAUUCAAAUGACAUACAUAAAGAGAGGUUGAUAAAAAUGUAAUUCAGCUUCAAGUAAAUCAAGUGAACAUUUGAAAGUUAAAAUGCUCACUUUCAAAAAGGAACAAAAUAGAAAAAAAUGUAUGCAUAUUCCAACCAUUGGGAUGUACAUAUAAUAUAUAAAUAUAAAUGCUUAUCCCUUUUUUUUUUCAGGCUUUAGAAAGCAUAUUUGUGUGUAUGUGUGCUCUGACAUUUUAUUAUUUUAGACCCUACUUUCUUUUUGUGUUUUGUUUGUCUAAGUACCUUGUGUUUUUCUCUCUUCCUAAAAUGGUGCAUUGAAUUUUUAAAUUAUCCCUUUUUUAAAAACAAUGUUUACUCCAUGACACAUUUUAAUUGUGUGCAUUCAGAAAGUUUCAAAUUGUGAUUUUCUAUUAACUUUUCUUUAAUAGUAAGCUGAAAGCAAACUAAAAAUUUAGUGGGCUCAGAUUUUCCAAUUUUCUUAAAGGACAAAUAAAUGUGUUUAGAAUAUUAAAGAUUUAUUUGUGUAGAGCCAAACAAAUAAAGUUUGCUACUUUUGACUCAAGGUUCUGAAAAGAAAAUGCUAUUCUCAUGGACUUACUUACAAUGGAAAUGUACAAUUGUUGAUGAAGCCACAAUUGAAAUAUUCAGAUUAAAACAUCUCCAAUGGUCCACUUCAUGACCAAAGGCAAAGAGAAAAUCAAUGUCAUCAUGACCAUGAAAUUUUAAUUUUCUUCUAGUUGCAUUUAACUCCUUUCACUCCCAUAAUUGAAAAACAAUUAACAAAAGUAAGUCUACCAAUGAACAAAUAAAGGACUUCUAUUUAAUCUACAUUUAUGAAAGUUAUAUUUACACACAUUUUAAAAAAAUAAUAAUAAAAAGCUGAAAUUAAAGAAUUUUUUUUUUUUUUUAUUAGUUAAUGGAUGUUUCAGAACAAAUAUUCUCCACAAUUUAAGACAAGAUGAAAAACCAAAUUUUUCAUGUCAUUAUUUUAAAAUCAAUAUCUAAUCACAACAUUGUUAAAGCAAAGUUUUUUGUUUUUUUGUUGUUUAUUUUUUUAAAAUAAAGAAUUCUGCUCCAUUUUGUAUCUUCACUUUGCAAAUUGUGAAAAAUGUUGAAUUUUAAAUGCAAUGACAGGGUGAUAAAGGCUUUGGGGGGGGGGGUGUGAAAGGUAUUGUUUAUCUAAUAGGCACAUGUUAGAGGAGGAUGGGGGCAUGGUAGGUGACAGACUUUUUUUGACUUCAUAUUUAUAUUUGUGAUAUAAUAAAAAAUAUUAUAAUGCACAAAGUAUUAACUUUCAAAAUGUAUAGGUAAUGAUCUGCAAAGCUUUACAAAAAUAUCUUAAUAAUUCAGAUUUUACAUAAGAGAUUCAAUGUUAUUAUUUUAUAAUUAAAUCAUUCACUCAUCUGAUUUUACUGACAUUAAAAUACUGUAUGUAUACAAAUAUAUAUUGAUUCCUUAUAGCUUAAUGCAGCUUCUGUUUGUUUUUUAAAAUAAUAAACUGUACUGAUAAAAAUCAACAUAAUAAACAAAAGUUAAGACUUAAAUUUAUGUAGCAUAUUGCUGUUCGCUAUGAAUAAAAUUUAAUGAAUUUUUCAUAAUUA